CACUAACCGCCUUAGAGGGGUCCGCUCUGGUCAUGCUCCAGUGAUUCCCUAUAAUUUCAACCAAAUUAUUCCAAGAAAAGGGGGGCCCGGUCCCACUCUAAAUCCGCCUUUGAGUUAUUUUAUCAAAGUUUCCCUCUUUUUAACGAGGUCCUGCAUUAUCAUCCUGCGUUUCUAUUUGGCGAUGGCGUUAAUCUCUGUUAAUUGGACUUGCGAGUCUAUAUCCCUU
rnacentral:lncRNA from 1 species